AGUGAACGCUGGCGGCGUGCCUAAUACAUGCAAGUCGAACGAAGUGGCGCACGGGUGAGUAAUAUAUAGUUAAUCUGCCCUACACAGAGGAACAACAGUUGGAAACGACUGCUAAUACCUCAUAGUGUAGGAUGAGCCUAUAUCGUAUCAGCUAGUUGGUAAGGUAAUGGCUUACCAAGGCUAUGACGCGUAACUGGUCUGAUAGGAUGAUCAGUAAAAUUGGAAAUGAGGCAAGGGUAAAACGCCUACGGGAAGGAGCAGGAAGGGAUAGGGGGCAAGGGGUGAAACCCUAGAGGAGGAACGGCGCGGGGAGGAUGAUACUUUUCGGAGCGUAAAAUCCUUUUAUUAGGAAAGCGGUACCUGAUGAAUAAGCACCGGCUAACUCCGUGCCAGCAGCCGCGGUAAUAC
rnacentral:rRNA from 1 species